GACGAACGCUGGCGGCGUGCCUAAUACAUGCAAGUAGAACGCUGAAGGAGGAGCUUGCUUCUCUGGAUGAGUUGCGAACGGGUGAGUAACGCGUAGGUAACCUGCCUGGUAGCGGGGGAUAACUAUUGGAAACGAUAGCUAAUACCGCAUAAGAGUAGAUGUCGCAUGACAUUUGCCUAAAAGGUGCAAUUGCAUCACUACCAGAUGGACCUGCGUUGUAUUAGCUAGUUGGUGAGGUAACGGCUCACCAAGGCAACGAUACAUAGCCGACCUGAGGGGGGGAUGGGCCACACUGGGACUGAGACACGGCCCAGACCCCUACGGGAGGCAGCAGGGGGGAAUUUUCGGCAAGGGGGGGAAGUCUGCCCGAAAAACGCCGCGGGGGUGAAAAAGGUUUUCGGAUUGGAAAGCUUUUUUAGAGGGGAAGACGGGGUGGAAGGGGGGAAAGUUCACUCUUGACGUGAAUUACACAAAAAGGGGCGGCUAAAUUCGUG
rnacentral:rRNA from 1 species